CCCAAACGUCUGCGCCUCUAAUGGAAGACCGGGGUGAGAGGGCCACGCAGGCGACGGAAACGGCCAGAAGAUGUCCCUGCGACACCGUUCGCCUUUGCUGGUGGGUCCGCAAACCCACGAAGAAUGGACCCGCUCGGCUUCCGUCUAAUACGACGCGCAGGACGGAAGUCCUGCCUCCGUACCUGACGUAUAUUUUCUGCGCUUGCAGCACUCCGGAAGUGAGAGGUUUAGCUCCACUGUUGAUUUCUUGUUGGAAGAGGAAAUUGGUCCACAUGGAGAGAGUCCAGGGAUGACAGGCACAGAGGAAAGGCCAUGUGAGGACACAGUGAGAAGGCAGCCCUCUCCAGGUGAAGGAGACAGGCCUCAGAAGAAACCAAACCUGCCUGGUCCUGGACUUCUAGU